CAUNGGCUCAACCAAUGUAUGCUUUGGAAACUGUUAGACUUGAGUGCAGAAGGGGAGAGUGGAAUUCCAUGUGUAGCGGUGAAAUGNGUAGAUAUAUGGAGGAACACCGGUGGCGAAAGCGGCUCUNUGGUCUGUCACUGACGCUGAGGCUCGAAAGCGUGGGUAGCGAACAGGAUUAGAUACCCUGGUAGUNCACGCCGUAAACGCUGAGUGCUAGGUGUUAGGUCCUUUCCGGGACUUAGUGCCGACGCUAACGCAUUAAGCACUCCGCCUGGGGAGUACGACCGCAAGGUUGAAACUCAAAGGAAUUGACGGGGGCCCGCACAAGCGGUGGAGCAUGUGGUUUAAUUCGAAGCAACGCGAAGAACCUUACCAGGUCUUGACAUCCCGAUGCCCGCUCUAGAGAUAGAGUUUUACUUUUUGUACAUCGGAGACAGGUGGUGCAUGGUUGUCGUCAGCUCGUGUCGUGAGAUGUUGGGUUAANNNNNNCAACGAGCGCAACCCUUAUUGUUAGUUGCCAUCAUUAAGUUGGGCACUCUAGCGAGACUGCCGGUAAUAAACCGGAGGAAGGUGGGGAUGAUGUCAAAUCAUCAUGCCCCUUAUGACCUGGGCUACACACGUGCUACAAUGGUUGGUACAACGAGUCGCAAGCCGGUGACGGCAAGCUAAUCUCUGAAAGCCAAUCUCAGUUCGGAUUGUAGGCUGCAACUCGCCUACAUGAAGUCGGAAUCGCUAGUAAACGCGGAUCAGCACGCCGCGGUGAAUACGUUCCCGGGCCUUG
rnacentral:rRNA from 1 species